AUUUAUUUCUUUGCUCUUGGUUUUACUUUUCUGGUAAGCCUCAAUUUAUUGCUUUGUACUUGGUUUUACUUUUCUUCUCUCCUUCUCUCCCUCCCUCCCUUCC